GACGAACGCUGGCGGCGUGCUUAACACAUGCAAGUCGAACGGAAAGGCCCUGCUUUUGUGGGGUGCUCGAGUGGCGAACGGGUGAGUAACACGUGAGUAACCUACCCCUGACUUUGGGAUAACUUCAGGAAACUGGGGCUAAUACCGGAUAGGAGCUCCUGCUGCAUGGUGGGGGUUGGAAAGUUUCGGCGGUUGGGGUUGGACUCGCGGCUUAUCGGCUUGUUGGUGGGGUAGUGGAUUACCAAGGCUUUGACGGGUAGCCGGCCUGAGAGGGUAACCGGCCACAUUAGGACUGGAAUACGGCACAGACCCGUCUGGGACGCAGCAGUGGGGAAGAGUGCACAAGGGGCGGAAGGCUGAUGUAGCAACGCCGCGUGCGGGAUGACGGCCUUCGGGUUGUAAACCGCUUUCGCCUGUGACGAAGCGUGAGUGACGGUAAUGGGUAAAGAAGCACCGGCUAACUCCGUG
rnacentral:rRNA from 1 species